rnacentral:rRNA from 1 species
GGCAGCACAGUAAGAGUCGCUUUUAAUGGGUGGCGAGUGGCGGACGGGUGAGGAAUACAUCGGAAUCUACCUUUUCGUGGGGGAUAACGUAGGGAAACUUACGCUAAUACCGCAUACGACCUUCGGGUGAAAGCAGGGGACCUUCGGGCCUUGCGCGGAUAGAUGAGCCGAUGUCGGAUUAGCUAGUUGGCGGGGUAAAGGCCCACCAAGGCGACGAUCCGUAGCUGGUCUGAGAGGAUGAUCAGCCACACUGGAACUGAGACACGGUCCAGACUCCUACGGGAGGCAGCAGUGGGGAAUAUUGGACAAUGGGCGCAAGCCUGAUCCAGCCAUACCGCGUGGGUGAAGAAGGCCUUCGGGUUGUAAAGCCCUUUUGUUGGGAAAGAAAAGCAGUCGAUUAAUACUCGGUUGUUCUGACGGUACCCAAAGAAUAAGCACCGGCUAACUUCGUGCCAGCAGCCGCGGUAAUACGAAGGGUGCAAGCGUUACUCGGAAUUACUGGGCGUAAAGCGUGCGUAGGUGGUUGUUUAAGUCUGUUGUGAAAGCCCUGGGCUCAACCCUGGGAAUUGCAGUGCAUACUGGGUCGACUAGAGUGUGUAGAGGGUAGUGCAAUUCCCGGGUGUAGCAGUGAAUGCGUAGAGAUCGGGAGGAACAUCAUGGCGAUGCAGCUAGCUGACCACACUGACACUGAGCACGAAGGCGUGGGGAGCCAAGCAGAUCGAUACCUUGUAGUCCACGCCCUAAAUCGAUUGCACUGAUGUACUGCAAUGCACGCAAUUCGAGCUAACCGUAGGUCGCACCCUGGGGA